CAAUCACUCGCUCUCUCUCGUUCUGUUGAUCUGAGCACUUCCUUUGGUAGCGGAGGAGAGCAGAGCAGCGUGUGAGCGUGUGACUUAAGUGUGUGUGUGUGUGUCCAGUGCAGGGAUAGCAGUGGAGAGGGAGAGAGAGAUAGAGAGAGACAGAAUAGCAGCAGAGUGAGAGCCAGCGCUCAGUAACAGGACAGAGAGAGAAGAGAGACGACUCGGAGUCCACGACUAACUGCGUGUAGGAGAGAAUAAAUGCUGAGUGUGAGAGAGAGGAGCGUUAGACACCAGUGGACAUCAUCUUUCCAGACCAAGGCCUUCAGGGAUUGCUGCUGUCGGCAGAUACAACAAGGUUCACACGAGUAAAGAUCUACAACAGUCUUCUGACUUCACCCUCACUGGCACCACAUCAGUCCCCUCACUGUCAGCUGUCAGCUGUACAUGGAUACCCCCAGCUGGGCAGGUCAG